rnacentral:misc_RNA from 1 species
GAUUAAGAACGUAGCGAAAUGCGAUAAGUAAUGUGAAUUGCAGAAUUCAGUGAAUCAUCGAAUCUUUGAACGCACAUUGCGCCCCUUGGUAUUCCGAGGGGCAUGCCUGUUCGAGCGUCAUUAUAACCCUCAAGCUCAGCUUGGUGUUGGGGCCUGCUGCACUGGCAGCCCUUAAAAUCAGUGGCGGCGCCAUCUGGCUCUAAGCGUAGUAAUUCUUCUCGCUAUGGAGUCCUGGUGGAUGCUUGCCAUCAACCCCCAAUUUUUCUAUGGUUGACCUCGGAUCAGGUAGGGAUACCCGCUGAACUUAAGCAUAUCAAUAAGCGGAGGA